rnacentral:rRNA from 1 species
GAUGAACGCUGGCGGCGUGCCUAAUAUAUGCGAGUCGAGCGAACAGACGAGGAGCUUGCUCCUCUGACGUUAGCGGCGGACGGGUGAGUAACACGUGGAUAACCUACCUAUAAGACUGGGAUAACUUCGGGAAACCGGAGCUAAUACCGGAUAAUAUAUUGAACCGCAUGGUUCAAUAGUGAAAGACGGUUUUGCUGUCACUUAUAGAUGGAUCCGCGCCGCAUUAGCUAGUUGGUAAGGUAACGGCUUACCAAGGCAACGAUGCGUAGCCGACCUGAGAGGGUGAUCGGCCACACUGGAACUGAGACACGGUCCAGACUCCUACGGGAGGCAGCAGUAGGGAAUCUUCCGCAAUGGGCGAAAGCCUGACGGAGCAACGCCGCGUGAGUGAUGAAGGUCUUCGGAUCGUAAAACUCUGUUAUUAGGGAAGAACAAAUGUGUAAGUAACUAUGCACGUCUUGACGGUACCUAAUCAGAAAGCCACGGCUAACUACGUG